rnacentral:lncRNA from 1 species
GCCGCACAAAGGGAAGCAGUGCCGCAACUAUUUCCUGUGACUGCAGGAGAACCCGCCUGUUCCUCUGGGUAAUCAUGAGCUGCAGGCAGCCUGGAUUGCGUCAUUCCGGCAGAGCUGGGGACUUCUCAGCAUGGGGAAAUGGCAUCCAGUUCCUGUGGGCAUGCCCAGCUGGCCCAACUUGAAAGGAGCACCAGACACAGCUGAAAAGAGGCUUUUACGGUUCCUGCCUUUCAGGAUCUUCCUGACAUCCAUGAAGCUGAGAGCUUUGCUCUUAAAAUGUAAAAGGAGAGUUGAGGGAAAGUCAAAUGUGCCUUUCUGAAUGCUGCCAACUGUUCGGCACGACUGCCUUUCCCUGUCCUCAGUGAGGAGCUGGAGACCCCUCAGAGCCCAGAUUGUCAGGACAGCCCAUGGAGACUUUAAGAUAUUCAAAAUGACUUGAAAAUUGCAGAAAACAAACAAACAAAAAAACCAAAACAAACCCAAACCAACCAACAAACAAACACAAAACAAAACAAAAAAAACAUACCCUAAGGGCUGGAAACACCACUGCCUUCAUUGCCCUUCCAAACACAAUGCCUAAAUAAACCUGAUCUUUCAAAGCA